GUUGCAUUUUUUGUUUUAUAUAGCACUUUGGUGACAUGAAUGUAUAUGCAGUACAGUAUAUAGGUUAUCAGCAGCCACAGGUACAGGUGUGUUGGAACGGGGAAAGCAAACAGCUUUUUACCGUGUCAGCAUGGCCUGUCAGCGGUAUUGUUUGAGUAGUGUUUAGCUGGAAAGCCGAAUGACACUUGCCUGA